UGGGGAAUAUUGCACAAUGGGCGCAAGCCUGAUGCAGCCAUGCCGCGUGUAUGAAGAAGGCCUUCGGGUUGUAAAGUACUUUCAGCGGGGAGGAAGGGAGUAAAGUUAAUACCUUUGCUCAUUGACGUUACCCGCAGAAGAAGCACCGGCUAACUCCGUGCCAGCAGCCGCGGUAAUACGGAGGGUGCAAGCGUUAAUCGGAAUUACUGGGCGUAAAGCGCACGCAGGCGGUUUGUUAAGUCAGAUGUGAAAUCCCCGGGCUCAACCUGGGAACUGCAUCUGAUACUGGCAAGCUUGAGUCUCGUAGAGGGGGGUAGAAUUCCAGGUGUAGCGGUGAAAUGCGUAGAGAUCUGGAGGAAUACCGGUGGCGAAGGCGGCCCCCUGGACGAAGACUGA
rnacentral:rRNA from 1 species